CCUACGGGAGGCAGCAGUGGGGAAUAUUGCACAAUGGGCGCAAGCCUGACGCAGCCAUGCCGCGUGUAUGAAGAAGGCCUUCGGGUUGUAAAGUACUUUCAGCGGGGAGGAAGGCGGUGAGGUUAAUAACCUUACCGAUUGACGUUACCCGCAGAAGAAGCACCGGCUAACUCCGUGCCAGCAGCCGCGGUAAU
rnacentral:rRNA from 1 species